CCUACGGGUGGCAGCAGUGGGGAAUAUUGGGCAAUGGGCGCAAGCCUGACCCAGCAACGCCGCGUGAAGGAAGAAGGCUUUCGGGUUGUAAACUUCUUUUCUGAGGGACGAAGAAAGUGACGGUACCUCAGGAAUAAGCCACGGCUAACUACGUGCCAGCAGCCGCGGUAAUACGUAGGUGGCAAGCGUUAUCCGGAUUUAUUGGGUUUAAAGGGUGCGUAGGCGGAAUAUCAAGUCAGCGGUAAAAAUUCGGGGCUCAACCCCGUCGUGCCGUUGAAACUGAUGUUCUUGAGUGGGCGAGAAGUAUGCGGAAUGCGUGGUGUAGCGGUGAAAUGCAUAGAUAUCACGCAGAACUCCGAUUGCGAAGGCAGCAUACCGGCGCCCAACUGACGCUGAAGCACGAAAGCGUGGGUAUCGAACAGGAUUAGAUACCCCUGUAGUC
rnacentral:rRNA from 1 species